ensembl:snRNA U6 U6 spliceosomal RNA
CUUGUGCCAAGAAAUAAAAAUAAAAUAGGAAUCAUACAGAGAAGAUUAGGGUGUCCCCUGUGCAAAAAUGACAUGUAAGUUCAUGAAGCAUUCCAUAUUUUU